UCAUACAUACCUACCACAACUUUACUCUUUUCUCUCUUCUCUUUCUUCUAGAAUUGUCAUCUUCUCACCGGAUUUUCAACAUUGAAUCAAGAUCAAAGAUCCACCUAUAUAUCUUGAAGAUCAGACCAUAAAUCUUGAAGUUAAUGAUUUUGGUUGUUGUAUUUUUUCAUGUGAUCCUUACAUCCGUUAUAACAAUCUGAAUACCACCAUUCGUCAAGCAACAGAGUUAUAGAUAUUUAUUCCUGAACCGAGUCUGUCCUCCAUAGUUUUUUCUGAUGUGAGUAUUUCUGAUUUUUCUAUUUGCAAUUGAGGUUUUGUUUUGAUCAAAGUUGGGUUAUGCAAGGUAAAUGGGGGAUAUCUACAAAUUUUGAUGGUACACGGCUUUUCAUUUAACGACAAUUUUGAUCAGAUACUGACAUUUAAGGAAAAAAUCUUAAUACAAUGUUGGGUAGAAGAUGCUGGAGAAUGAACUUAAGCGUAAUUUGGAUGCCGUUUAUGAUGUGGAUUUAUAUUCUUCCCAGUCUUCCACUAAACCGCGUAUGGGUGAUUGUGAGAACAAUGAAGAUCCGCCUAUAUAUCUUGAAGAUCAGACCAUAAAUCUUGAAGCAACAGAGUUAUAGAUAUUUAUUUCUGAACCGAGUCUGUCCUCCAUAGUUUUUUCUGAUGUGAAGAGCUUCUUUCAGACUCCUUCCCCUACAAGGAACUAUUGAAUGGGUUCCUAUGAGAAGUUGAAGAAAAGUUAUGGAUAAUGAAAACAAUGCUCCUUCGUUAUUAAAGUCGAUUUAGGACUAUGAUCCUAUAUUUUUCGAAUUGUUCGUCGAGCAAAAACAGUUAUGGAUCAUGAAAACAACGCUCCUUCGUUGUUAAAGUUGAUUGGGGACUAUGAUCCUAUAUUUUUGUUAUAGAUCCUAAAAACAACUCUCAUUCGUUGUUAAAGUUGAUUGAGUAAUAUGAUCCUAUAUUUUUGGUGUUUAUUUUGGAUGGUCUGGAGUUUUUGGCUGCAACUAUGUUGGACUGAGAUAUGCUUGCUAUUGCUGUAAAUUGGUACCAUGUCGGUUGGUUUUGCUUGGUAAGAUGACCAAUGUAUAUCUCUAUUUGAGGAAUUCUCCAAAGAUCCAGAGCCGAUUGUUUCAUAGAGUUGUGAAGUUGUGUUAAACAUACUGGAUUUUGAACGAUCCGACAAACCAUUCGAGGUACUUGGAAGAUUAAGUCUCUUAUCUGGGUGGUUGUUACAGGUUUAGGAUGUUAAAUGAUUUUGGAUGUACUCUGCGAUGUCGAUGAUGCAGAGAUGUUGAAGAAGCUCAUGUUAACAACUUCAUGUGUAUAUUUUAAUGAAUAAAGUUUUUGUUGUUUA